rnacentral:lncRNA from 1 species
GUGGGUGGUGCGGGGCUCCCGGAGCUAGGACUCCCCCUCCCCAGUGUCUGCUCCCUGAGCACCUGGGGUUUCCCUCCCUGAGCGCCCCGAGCAAUCGAGCCCCUGCAUCCCCCAGGGAGGAACCUCCUUUGAGCGUCUUGGACUCGCGGUCUCUGUCCGAACACGGAUGGCUUCCGAGACCAGCACCUUCCCCUACCCCACCCCCACCCCACCCAUAUUCCUUGGUGCCGGGACCCCACCUCCAUACUGUGCAGUCGGGGGACCUGGCGAGCCUCUGCCAAGAAGAGGGUGACGAGUCCCCCACACACACUUCGAACUCAUUGGACCUGGGGAUCCCGCUGUCUGAACCUCCUCCCGGUCCCGCUGGACACCGACUCUACCCUCCUGUGCUAGGGACUUUUGCGGCAGAGUCCUCCAGAACUCUGGGAUCCGAAGCUGGAGGCCUCUUGUGGAGACCACUGCGUUUCACAGGCUCCCAGCAUCCUUCCGGGGCACAUGCGGCGGCUGUUCUCCCUUCUGGCCUGCUG